GACGAACGCUGGCGGCGUGCUUAACACAUGCAAGUCGAACGGAAAGGCCCUGCUUUUGUGGGGUGCUCGAGUGGCGAACGGGUGAGUAACACGUGAGUAACCUGCCCUUGACUUUGGGAUAACUUCAGGAAACUGGGGCUAAUACCGGAUAGGAGCUCCUGCUGCAUGGUGGGGUUUGGAAAGUUUCGGCGGUUGUGGAUGGACUCGCGGCUUAUCAGCUUGUUGGUGGGGUAGUGGCUUACCAAGGCUUUGACGGGUAGCCGGCCUGAGAGGGUGACCGGCCACAUUGGGACUGAGAUACGGCCCAGACUCCUACGGGCGGCAGCAGUGGGGAAUAUUGCACAAUGGGCGGAAGUCUGAUGCAGCAACGCCGCGUGCGGGAUGACGGCCUUCGGGUUGUAAACCGCUUUCGCCUGUGACGAAGCGUGAGUGACGGUAAUGGGUAAAGAAGCACCGGCUAACUACGUG
rnacentral:rRNA from 1 species